rnacentral:rRNA from 1 species
AACGAACGUUGGCGGCGUGGAUUAGGCAUGCAAGUCGAACGAAGCUGGGGUAGCAAUAUCCCAGACUGAGUGGCGAAAGGGGCAGUAAAGCGUGGGUAACCUACCCCAGGGACUGGGAUAGCCAUCCCAACGGAUGGGUAAUACCGGGCGACGUGGUUGGGGGGCAUCUCUUGACCACCAAAUGAGUUUCGCCCUGGGAGGGGCUCACGUGCUAUUAGCUUGUUGGCGGGGUAACGGCCCACCAAGGCAAAGAUGGCUAGCGGGUGUGAGAGCACGACCCGCGCCACUGGCACUGUGACACUGGCCAGACUCCUACGGGAGGCUGCAGUCGAGGAUCUUCGGCAAUGGGCGCAAGCCUGACCGAGCGACGCCGCGUGUGCGAUGAAGGCCUUCGGGUUGUAAAGCACUGUCGAGGGGGAGGAAGCCGCAAGGUUGACCUAUCCCUGGAGGAAGCACGGGCUAAGUUCGUGCCAGCAGCCGCAGUAAAAC